rnacentral:rRNA from 1 species
CCGGCGCACGGGUGAGUAACACGUAUGCAACCUGGCCGUCACAGGUGGAUAACCGGAAGAAAUUCCGACUAAUACAGCAUAACACUCCUGAGGGACAUCCCUUGGGAGUCAAAGGAGGCAACUCCGGUGACGGAUGGGCAUGCGGCGCAUUAGGUAGUUGGUAGGGUAACGGCCUACCAAGCCGACGAUGCGUAGGGGUUCUGAGAGGAAGGUCCCCCACACUGGUACUGAGACACGGACCAGACUCCUACGGGAGGCAGCAG